CAGCAUAUACAUGCAGUCGAGCGGACUUGAAGAGAAGCUUGCUUCUCGGAUGGUUAGCGGCGGACGGGUGAGUAACACGUAGGCAACCUGCCCUCAAGCUUGGGACAACUACCGGAAACGGUAGCUAAUACCGAAUACUUGUUUUCUUCGCCUGAAGGAAACUGGAAAGACGGAGCAAUCUGUCACUUGGGGAUGGGCCUGCGGCGCAUUAGCUAGUUGGUGAGGUAACGGCUCACCAAGGCGACGAUGCGUAGCCGACCUGAGAGGGUGAUCGGCCACACUGGGACUGAGACACGGCCCAGACUCCUACGGGAGGCAGCAGUAGGGAAUCUUCCGCAAUGGGCGAAAGCCUGACGGAGCAAUGCCGCGUGAGUGAUGAAGGUUUUCGGAUCGUAAAGCUCUGUUGCCAGGGAAGAACGCUUGGGAGAGUAACUGCUCUCAAGGUGACGGUACCUGAGAAGAAAGCCCCGGCUAACUACGUGCCAGCAGCCGCGGUAAUACGUAGGGGGCAAGCGUUGUCCGGAUUAUUGGGCGUAAGCGCGCGCAGGCGGUCAUGUAAGUCUGGUGUUUAAUCCCGGGGCUCAACCCCGGAUCGCACUGGAAACUGUGUGACUUGAGUGCAGAAGAGGAGAGUGGAAUUCCACGUGUAGCGGUGAAAUGCGUAGAGAUGUGGAGGAACACCAGUGGCGAAGGCGACUCUCUGGGCUGUAACUGACGCUGAGGCGCGAAAGCGUGGGGAGCAAACAGGAUUAGAUACCCUGGUAGUCCACGCCGUAAACGAUGAGUGCUAGGUGUUAGGGGUUUCGAUACCCUUGGUGCCGAAGUUAACACAUUAAGCACUCCGCCUGGGGAGUACGGUCGCAAGACUGAAACUCAAAGGAAUUGACGGGGACCCGCACAAGCAGUGGAGUAUGUGGUUUAAUUCGAAGCAACGCGAAGAACCUUACCAGGUCUUGACAUCCAACUAACGAGGCAGAGAUGCGUUAGGUGCCCUUCGGGGAAAGUUGAGACAGGUGGUGCAUGGUUGUCGUCAGCUCGUGUCGUGAGAUGUUGGGUUAAGUCCCGCAACGAGCGCAACCCUUAUAUUUAGUUGCCAGCACUUCGGGUGGGCACUCUAGAUAGACUGCCGGUGACAAACCGGAGGAAGGUGGGGAUGACGUCAAAUCAUCAUGCCCCUUAUGACCUGGGCUACACACGUACUACAAUGGCCGGUACAACGGGCUGCGAAAUCGCGAGAUGGAGCCAAUCCCAACAAAGCCGGUCUCAGUUCGGAUUGCAGGCUGCAACUCGCCUGCAUGAAGUCGGAAUUGCUAGUAAUCGCGGAUCAGCAUG
rnacentral:rRNA from 2 species